rnacentral:tRNA from 1 species
GCCUUCGUGGUGUAGUGGUCAGCACGCUCGACGUGUAACCGAGAGGUCCGUGGUUCGAUUCCUGGCGAAGGCG